GAUGAACGCUGGCGGCGUGCCUAAUACAUGCAAGUCGAGCGAAUGGAUUAAGAGCUUGCUCUUAUGAAGUUAGCGGCGGACGGGUGAGUAACACGUGGGUAACCUGCCCAUAAGACUGGGAUAACUCCGGGAAACCGGGGCUAAUACCGGAUAACAUUUUGAACCGCAUGGUUCGAAAUUGAAAGGCGGCUUCGGCUGUCACUUAUGGAUGGACCCGCGUCGCAUUAGCUUGUUGGUGAGGUAACGGCUCACCAAGGCAACGAUGCGUAGCCGACCUGAGUGGGUGCUCGGCCACACUGGGACUGGGACACGGCCCAGACUCCUACGGGAGGCAGCAGUAGGGAAUCUUCCGCAAUGGACGAAAGUCUGACGGAGCAACGCCGCGUGAGUUAUGAAGGCUUUCGGGUCGUAAAACUCUGUUGUUAGGGAAGAACAAGUGCUAGUUGAAUAAGCUGGCACCUUGACGGUACCUAACCAGAAAGCCACGGCUAACUACGUGCCAGCAGCCGCCGUAA
rnacentral:rRNA from 1 species